rnacentral:tRNA from 1 species
UCCCUGGCGGUCCAGUGGCUAAGGCUUUGCACUUUCAAUGCAGGGGGCCCAGGUUCAAUCCCUGUUCAGGGAA